AUAUGACCCAGUCUUCCUCCUUCCUUCCUUUCUUCCUUUCUUUCUUUCUUUCUUUCUUUCUUUCUUUCUUUUCUUUUUUCUUCUUCUUUUUUUUUUUUUUUUUUUUGAAACAGGGUUUCUCUGUAUAGCCCUGGCUGUCCUGGAACUCACUUUGUAGACCAGGCUGGCCUCAAACUCAGAAAUCCACCUGCCUCUGCCUCCUGAGUGCUGGGAUUAAAGGCGUGCGCCACCACGACCAGCAUGGCCCAGUCUUUCUACCCUUAGAUUUAUUCAAGAAAAGCAGAUGCCCCUAGUUGCAUACUGGCUUUAUUUGUAGUAGAUCAACCCAGAUGCCCAUCAACAAAUGUGUAAAUGAAGCAUGGUAGAUCCACAUGGUGGAGUAAGACCCAUCAGUAAAAAGGAAUCACACAGCAAUAUGGGUAAGUCUCAACAUAAUUAUAGAAGAGUGCACGUGAUUGGUUCCACUUAUAUAACUAAUUGAAGGUGACAAAGUGAUGCAGGGUUGCAGGGGCGGCGGGGGGAUCACAGUAGGGCAGGAAAUAAAACCUGUGUGUAUCUAUGUUCAAUAUCUUGUGAGUGUAUGCUAACAUUUUUAACCCUCUAAAUUUGGGUAGCUAAUUGCAUGUGAACUGUACUGAGACAAAUACAAAAAUAGCCACAAUAAUGCCUUUUUCUGUCUUUAAAAGUUCUCUUGUGGUGUGCACAGUGACGCAUGCCUGUGACCCCAGCACUUGGGAGGUGGUAUGAGGUGGAGAAAUAUGAGUUCAAAACCAGUCUGAACAGAGAGCAAGAUCUGGGCUUAAAAACAACUGACUAGGGCUGUGGGGAGCUCAGUGACAGAUGCAUGCCAUGCACAAGGCCCUGGGUUUGAUACCCAGCACUAUGGAAAGGACACUACCGCCCCCUUAAAACCAACAAACACAGCAGAGGCUCUCUUACCUUCUCUGCCGUGCUCAGCCAUCCUAAGGCAGCGCCUUGACCUCUGGAGUACUCUACUUAACUUCAUUGCUUGUUUGUUAUACAUCCUGGUGAGCCCUGCCAGAGAGCAGAUAUGGUGUUGGGAGUUAGGGAGGCAAUGAGCCACCCAGGGUCACGGGGAGGAUGCAUCCAGGGAGUGAACUGAUGUGAAGCUGAGCACUGACUCCAGUAACUGGGUCACAUGGACAGGACUAGUUUUGCACUUGUAAAAUACAGGUCCUAAUACUAACUUCAUGAAUUUGUCACCAGGGCCCAAGAAGAGAAAUGUCAAGAGUCUGUCUGAUAAGUAUCAAGGGCUAGUAUUGUUUCUAAAGACUGUUUGGGGACACCAGCUUGGCAUUCCGGAAAUCUUCGGGCUUCUCUGGAAUUUUAUAAGGAUAAUUAGAGAAAUGUCGUCUGCGGCUGGAAGAUGGUGAUUUGUGAGUCUGUGGUGAAGGGUGUGUGCUUACUGUUGGAAGGGAAACAGAAAGGCGCUGAAGGUCCUCAUAGUGUGGAAAAGUAACGGCACAGUCCCUCUUGUUUCCAAGAGUGUAUUUUACACCCAGUCAAGUGCACACUAACUCUAAGUAUAAUGGUUUUAUUGUUGUUGUUGUUGUUGUAUACCGUAAGUAUUAAACACACAAAUGGAGACACAGAACAUUUCCUCGAAGUUCCCUUGGUCCCCCUUUAACUGCAAUGUGCUACCCCUAUAGGUCUGGCUCAGAUCUCCACUGAUUCUUUUUGUCUGUAUUUGAAUUUAGAUUCAUGCAGAUGGAGUCAUACUGUGUACAAUCUUGUCAGCAUUCCUGCUCCUGCUGUGACACGUGACCACACAAAUGCGUAUCUUGCAGCUUUUUGUGUUAGAAGCCCAGCAAGGAACUAGGUAUGGCAAUGCAGUCCUGAAAUCCCAGCACUCAGGAGGCAGGAGAGGGAAGACUGUGAACCCGGGGUAGCCUAAGCUACUGCACUACAAAGCUAAACAAAAGCAUAAAAGAAAUCCAUCAAAGGUUUUGCUGGGCUGGUGUCAGUCGAUGUGCUGGUAAAGCCGCAUUCUUCUCUAGAUCCCUAACAGGGAAACUGUCUUUUUGUCUUUUCUAACUUGAGACACAUCCCCACUCCACUAACCUCCCCCCGCCCCCCCAACACCUUGACAAUACUUGGCCCACAACUCCUUCUCCAGUCUUCAAAAUUAGCAGCGACACACCC
rnacentral:lncRNA from 1 species